UUGAAUUGAAGAGUUUGAUCAUGGCUCAGAUUGAACGCUGGCGGCAGGCUUAACACAUGCAAGUCG
rnacentral:rRNA from 1 species